UACGUAGGCAGCGAGCGUUGUUCGGAGUUACUGGGCGUAAAGGGUGUGUAGGCGGGUCUUUAAGUUUGGGGUGAAAUCUCCCGGCUCAACCGGGAGGGUGCGCCGAAAACUGGGGGACUAGAGUGCGGGAUGGGAGAGUAGAAUUCCCGGUGUAGCGGUGAAAUGCGUAGAUAUCAGGAGGAAUACCGGUGGUGUAGACGGCUCUCUGGACCGCCACUGACGCUGAGACACGAAAGCGUGGGUAGCAAACAGG
rnacentral:rRNA from 1 species